GGGGGAAUUUUCCGCAAUGGGCGAAAGCCUGACCGAGCGAUGCCGCGUGCGGGAUGAAGGCCCUCGGGUUGUAAACCGCUGUCAGUUGGGAGGAAGGGUCCGUGAAGAGCGGAUCUUGACCUAUCUUCAGAGGAAGUCUGGGCUAAGUUCGUGCCAGCAGCCGCGGUAACACGAACCGGACAAACGUUAUUCGGAAUUAUUGGGCUUAAAGGGUGCGUAGGCUGCUAUGUAGGUGGGGUGUGAAAUCCCUCGGCUCAACCGAGGAACUGCGCCCCAAACCCCAUAGCUAGAGGGAGACAGAGGUAAGUGGAACUGAUGGUGGAGCGGUGAAAUGCGUUGAUAUCAUCAGGAACACCAGUGGCGAAAGCGGCUUACUGGGUCUCUUCUGACGCUGAGGCACGAAAGCUAGGGUAGCGAAAG
rnacentral:rRNA from 1 species